GACGAACGCUGGCGGCGUGCCUAAUACAUGCCAGUUGAGCGAUGAAGCUUGGUGCUUGCACCAAUUUGAAGAGCAGCGCACGGGUGAGUAACGCGUGGGGCAUCUGCCUUUGAGCGGGGGACAACAUUUGGAAACGAAUGCUAAUACCGCAUAACAACUUUAAACAUAAGUUUUAAGUUUGAAAGAUGCAAUUGCAUCACUCAAAGAUGAUCCCGCGUUGUAUUAGCUAGUUGGUGAGGUAAAGGCUCACCAAGGCGAUGAUACAUAGCCGACCGGAGAAGGUGAGUGGCCAGAUUGGGACGGAGACACGGCCCAAACGGCUACGGGAAGGAGCAGUAGUGAAUCGGGAGCAAGGGGCGAAAGUCUGAGCGAGAAAGGCCGAGGGAGGGAAGAAGGAUGUCGGGUCGGAAAACUCGGUUUGUAGGGAGGAAAGUGGGUGAGAGUGGAAAGCUCAUCAAGUGACGGUAACGACUCAGAAAGGAACGGCUAACUACGUG
rnacentral:rRNA from 1 species